GAUGGUGUAUGCAAGCGGUCAACGCAAACUGACUUAAGAUCAGUUCCCUUUUGGGUUCGCGGGUUCAAAUCCCGUCGCCAUCA
rnacentral:tRNA from 1 species